rfam:Methanoculleus bourgensis MS2T complete genome
GCGAGGGUUGCCGAGCCAGGUCAAAGGCGACGGAUUUAGGGUCCGUUCUCGAAGGAGUUCAAGGGUUCGAAUCCCUUCCCUCGCA